GGCUGAAACUCGCCUAUAUGAAGUCGGAAUUGCUAGUAAUCGCGGAUCAGCAUGCCGCGGUGAAUACGUUCCCGGGCCUUGUACACACCGCCCGUCACACCAUGAGAGUCGAUAACACCCGAAGCCUGUAGUCUAACAGCAAUGAGGACGCAGUCGAAGGUGGGAUUGAUAAUUAGGGUGAAGUCGUAACAAGGUAAC
rnacentral:rRNA from 1 species